rnacentral:rRNA from 1 species
AUGAGCAUGCAUGUCUGAGUACAUGCUUCCAUACAGCGAAACUGCGAAUAGCUCAUUAAAACAUUAGUAGUGUAUUUGAUGGUCAUUCACUACAUGGAAAACCGUGGUAGUUCUAGAGUAAAUAGAUGCGCCCAUCCUGGACUUUGUGGAAGGGUUGUGAUUAUUAGAUACAAAACCAACCCAGGCUCUGCCUGGUCUCGUGGUGAUCAUGACAACCGAACAAAUCGCAUGGCGUCGGCUGGCGAUGAAUCAUUCAAGUUUCUGACCUAUCAGCUUAUGACGGUAGGGUAUUGGCCUACCGUGGCAAUGACGGGUAACAGAGAAUUAGGGUUCGAUUCCGGAGAGGGAGGAAACGGCUACCACAUCUAAGGAAGGCAGCAGGCGCGCAAAUUACCCAAUCCUGACACAGAAAGGUAGUGACAAAAAAUAACAAUACAGGGCAUUCAGGUCUUUUAAUUGGAAUGAGAAGAAUUUUAAUCCCUUUACGAGUAUCGAUUGGAGAGCAAGUCUGGUGCCAGCAGCCACGGCAAUUCCAGCUCCAAUAGCGUAUAUUUAAAUUGAUGCGGUUAAAAAGCUCGUAGUUGGGAUUUCGGCCGAGGACGACAGGUCCGCCCUCUGGGUGAGCAUCUGGCUCGGCUUGGGCAUCUUCUUGGAGAACGUAGCUGCACUUGACUGUGUGGUGCGGCCCUCACAACUAAUACUUUGCGGAAAUUAGAGCGUUUCAAGCAGGCACAAACCUUGAAUACGUUAGCAUGGAAUAUUAAGAUAGGACCCCAGUUCUAUUUUGUUGGUUUCUAGAGCUGAGAUAAUGAUUAAUAGGGAUAGCUGGGGGCAUUCGUACUUAACCGUCAGAGGUGAAACUUUUGGAUUUGUGAAAGACGGACUACUGCGAAAGCAUUUGCCAAGGAUGUUUUCUGUGAUCAAGAACGAAAGUUAGGGGAUCGAAGACGAUCAGAUACCGCCCUAGUCUUAACCAUAGACUAUGCCCACUAGAGAUUGGGGGUCGUUGUCUAUACGACCCCCUCAGCACCUGAUGAGAAAUCAAAGUCUUUGGGUUCCCCGGGGAGUAUGGUCGCAAGGCUGAAACUUAAAGGAAUUGACGGAAGGGCACUACCAGGAGUGAGCCCUGCGGCUUAAUUUGAUUCAACACGGGGAAACUUACAAGGUCCAGACAUGAUUAGGAUUGACAAAUUGAUAGCUCUUUCUUCAUUCUAUGGGGAGUCAUUUGUUUGGUAAAUUCUAUUAUCAACGAGACCUUAACAUGCUAAAUAGUUACGUGUAACCUCGGUUACAUGGGCAACUUCUUAGAGGGACUUUGCGUGUCUAACGCAAUGAAGAUUGAGGCAAUAACAGGUCUGUGAUGCCCUUAGAUGUUCUGGGCUGCACGAGCGCUACACUGAUGCGUUCAACGAGUUUAUGACCUUGCCUGGAAAGGUUGGGUAAUCUUUUAAAAACGCAUCGCGAUGGGGAUAGAUUAUUGCAAUUAUUAAUCUUCAACGAGGAAUUCCUAGUAAGCGCGAGUCAUCAGCUCGUGCUGAUUACGACCCUGCCCUUUGUACACACCGCCCGUCGCUCCUACCGAUUGAGAGAUCCGGUGAAUAAUUCGAACUGCACCAGUGUUCGGAUUCCCUGAACGUUGCAGCGGAAAGUCUAGUGAACCUAUCACUAGAGAAAGAAG